GCAUGUGUGCAACCUAUGGCAACACAUUCAAGGAAAGCAAAUUUGAUUAUGCACAAGGUGAUGUGACUAUCAUUUAUGAUAUUUUGUUGUUUUGUCUCUUCUUGUUUCCAAGGUAAUUUCUAAUUUAUUUCCAUUGUGUAAAUCAGAUUUUGUCAAAUACCUAGAUUCUUACAUAUCCUAGUUAAUAUACAUUGGAGGUUGCUCAAUAAAAAUUAACUCGAUCAUAUCCCUAUGAGGAAAAAAUUGAAGAUGUCAAGCUGUGUGUGUGUUCAUCUUUAGUUGAUAGCUAGGGAGAGUAAUACACAAAUGGAGUUGAGGC
rnacentral:lncRNA from 1 species